rnacentral:rRNA from 1 species
UGUGGAAUUUUGGACAAUGGGGGAAACCCUGAUCCAGCCAUCCCGCGUGUGCGAUGAAGGCCUUCGGGUUGUAAAGCACUUUUGGCAGGAAAGAAACGUCAUGGGUUAAUACCCCGUGAAACUGACGGUACCUGCAGAAUAAGCACCGGCUAACUACGUGCCAGCAGCCGCGGUAAUACGUAGGGUGCAAGCGUUAAUCGGAAUUACUGGGCGUAAAGCGUGCGCAGGCGGUUCGGAAAGAAAGAUGUGAAAUCCCAGAGCUCAACUUUGGAACUGCAUUUUUAACUACCGGGCUAGAGUGUGUCAGAGGGAGGUGGAAUUCCGCGUGUAGCAGUGAAAUGCGUAGAUAUGCGGAGGAACACCGAUGGCGAAGGCAGCCUCCUGGGAUAACACUGACGCUCAUGCACGAAAGCGUGGGGAGCAAACAGG